rnacentral:rRNA from 1 species
UACGUAGGUGACCAGCGUUGUCCGGAUUUACUGGGCGUAAAGAGCGCGCAGGCGGUCGUUCAAGUCGAGUGUGAAAGCCCCCGGCUCAACUGGGGAGGGUCAUUCGAUACUGAUCGACUUGAAGGCAGGAGAGGGAAGUGGAAUUCCCGGUGUAGUGGUGAAAUGCGUAGAUAUCGUGAGGAAGACCAGUGGCGAAGGCGGAUCUCUGGACAGCUCCUGACGCUGAGGCGCGAAGGCUAGGGGAGCAAACGGG